GAAGGCGCAUGAGGCGGCGGAGCAUCGGCUGCUUCUCGAGGGGCACGGGAAUGGAGAGCGCGAGGGCCGGGAGAGGCAUGGGCUCGCCGCCGUAGGCGUGGAUGCGGUCCGGGAUGCGGAGGUCGACAGCGCACUUGAGGGCGAAAGGGCCAACGAUGCUGAUGAUUCGGUGUUCAAUCGUCGACUGGACGACCAGCAGCUGGUCGUCGGUGAUCUUCAUCUCGCCUUUGCCGGGCUCCAUUUCUAAUCUAUAGAUUGUUUGGAUUCUUAAUUACUUGGAAGUGGUGGAGGAUAUAGAGGCUUUAGGCUUGCCGGUAAAUAUAUAGUGCUUUCGGGGGAUAGAACACUACCAAUCAACCAUUCAAAAUAAAAUUACAAUGAGAGUAGAGAAAUGUUAACUUCAAAACUUAGUCUUAUAUAAUUAUGAUUCGGCAAAAAAUUCAAUACUGGUAUGACAUAAAUAAAAUUUGUAUUCCGAAUUUUAAAUUCGUUGAAAAAUACGGUUUAAAAAACAGAUUCGCCAAUUAUUUGGAUACACAAUUAUACGAAAAUUAUACGUUUACCAAUUAAAAAUUUGGUACAAAAAUUCGGCUGUUAAAUUAAAUAUUUUUCCCUCGAUUUAUGAUACUACCGUAAAUAGUUAUAGCUCUUAAGAAUAUAAUAAUAAAGAGCUACAAAAUAAAAUAGAUUAAAUAAGAAAAAAUAAUAGUGUAGUUUAUUAUCAUUCCAUAUACUCCUGUAGCUCAUCAUGUUUUUUAAUAAUUCGCCAAUAAUUCGACAAUAAUUCGCAAAUAAUGAAAAAAUGGUCUUAUUUAAAAAUUUUGCGCGUUUUUUUCGCUGAAUAUUUUGGUAUUCGCGAAUUAUUCGUGAAUAAUAAAUCUAAGAUAAAAAAUUAUAUUUUAUUUUGAUUUUUUAAAAAUAAAUCACAUACGAAUUGUUUUAUUUAAAUUUUCAAUAAUCGACAAAUUAACUAUCGACUACCGUGGUUGCAAUCUCUUUCAGAACGAUGCCUGGAAAUUUUCUGGACACAAAUUUAGGAGACAGCAACGUUGUACGUACACUUCCCUCACAUGUGGUUCUUACAUUGGCCAUAACUAGAAAUAAUUGACUGAUCACGCCAUAUUCGCAUUCAUAGGUAGCAUUUUUCAAAUCUAAUUAAAUCUCAUCACUAUCCUAUUGAAAAGGUUGGAUUUAAGAUGCUAUAUACUAUUCUCAAACAAAUCAACUUCUCCGUACAUUAAACUUUUGCAAACUAGUCCCUCAACGAAGAGAAUUUACUGUUAAAUCCCCUCUCAAAUUUAAGUACACGCACCUGCUGACUAAAUAAUAUCAAACAUUUAAGGGGCUAGAGAAGUUAUAUAUAACAUCCUCCCUUGUUACGACGAAAAUCGAAAAGAUCUAAUUUGCCAGAAGCGAAAAUAUCAAAAAAAAUCCGAAAAAGAGAGAAGAAAAAUAAAACAUAUAAUAUUUACGUGGUUCGGUCACCGGUUUAUAUCCACGAGCGAAAACGAAGCAAAAAUCUUCAUUAUAAUCAAAAUGGUGUAUAAAAUAUACCUCUCUCGUAAAAUCCUAACUCCAAAAAUGCACUCAUAUUCUCUCUCUCAUCUGCCGCACCAAAUCAAUGGAAUAAAAGAUAUAUUUAUAAUAGUGGCUAAAUUCUAAUAUGAUUAGAAAUACAAAUUCACUAAGACUAGAAAUAUCUUAAUUAUAUUAGGUAUAAUCUAUAUUUAACUUAAUGAGAUAAUAAUCAAAACAGAAAAGAGUUAAAAAAUCUUGAGAUUUUAGAAUUUGAGACAUAUCUAAUAUCCCUCUAGUAUAUUGUCGAAUAUGGGUAAUGAAGUUGUCUGCCCAAAAGAAACAAAAGUAAAAUCUAUUUUAUUAAUAAAAAGAGAGACUGACCGUCCCCAGAGCAAGUGGCAAAGGACUUGGUGGUUGGUACCCGAGACCCAAGUUUGAAUCCUAGUUGAUUCACUUUUUCAGCUAAAUUUAUUUCUAAAUGAAAUAAACGAAGCGGGUAGCGUGCUACAUAUCUCUCAAAAAAUAAAAAUAAAAAUAAAAAUAAAAAGAGAGCUAUUUUGGAAUGAGCCCCAAGCCUUUCAGCUUGGAUUCGCCGCUGUGACUUGCUCUCUUUAAAGUAUGCUAGGUUCAACUACUUAGUUUGGACUAAACUGGGCUAUGUUUUAGCACGGAACUGGAAAUUCCAAAGAUAUAAGAUUUCGGCCUAAAUCUUCGGAUGGUUGAAACAUCAGAAAAGUAAACUACUAAAACUAUUAGAACUAUUACCGAUCGUCCCUAGAGCAAGUGGCAAAGGGUUUGGUGGUUGAUACCCGAGACGCAAGUUCGAAUCCUAGUUGAUUUACAUUUCUAGCUAAGUUUAUUUCUAAAUGAAAUAAACGAAGCGGGUACCGUGCUACCUAUCUCUCAAAAAAAAAAAAAAAAAACUAUUAGAACUAUUGCUACGAUUUUCGGCUGGAAUUAGAAAAACCUAACAAGUCUACUUUCAGUAUGAAGAAUAAAACUACUAUUUUCUAAAUAGAAUAGCCUUAGGCAUUGGACUCGUGGAAGUAAAGCCUUUUCCUUCAUCUUUUGUGUAGUAUUUAUAACUCCAUGCAUGUCCUGAUUUCGAGUCUGAUAAUAUCUAAUAAGAUGUAAUUUAAUAUUUGAUUUAUUUUGUCAUUUAGUAGCUCGUACUAACUACAAUAAGUAUUUUGCGAAUAAAUUAUUGAGUUAUUUUCUAAAGUUAAUAGUUUUGAUCACUUGUUAGCAACUAAAAACUAGAAUACUUCAUAACUAACUAGUAAAGAUAUCCGCAUGUUACGGCGGAUUGAUUUUAAAAAUAUAAUAAUUAACGAAAAUAAUGCAGUAAUCAGUUUCUGUACAACAGAAAACAAAAAGGAGUAAGAAAAAAACUAUCUCGAUAUUUUUACACAAAUAUAAAAUAGCAAGUAAAGGUUAUAAAAUUUAUAGAUCUGUUAAAAUAUGAAAUCUUAAUCGAUAAAUAAAAUAAAUAAAUAAGAGUCAUCCGCUAGCAAUUUAAUCUUCUAAAGUGACUUUGAACCCAAAAUAUCUGUUUAGUCAUCUUCAUAAAUUUCCAGCCAAGUUGUAUCUAGCGAGAGAGUGCAUUGCAUUGUAGUGGAUUGCACUAAGCGUAAUAAAGAAUCCAUAAAAUUACCUCACUCCCUAUAAUAGAAGCCCUCUAUUGUUGGUAUUGAUAUAAAAAAUUCUUAUUAGUACCUUAUUAUAAUAUUCAAUGUGAUCUAAUUAGCUGCAUGAUUUAACAGUAUAUGCCACUGGUUGUGCAUAGUACUUCGAUCUCACUUUCACUUCUUCUAGACGAUUACUUGUAAACAAAAGAAAGAGAAAUUUUUUUAAAGAAAGAUUAGAAUACCUUGAACAAAACAAAAGGAUCAAAAUGAUCUUCUUAGAAGUAAAUUUCAUAAAAUUUUUAUGAUUUUACAUUGGUUGCUAUUUAUUGGAUGUAUCUUUAUAUUCGUAAACAAAAAUAAAAGCUUGUUUUUCCAAUGGCUUAAGAAGAAUUUAAAAGAAAUAAUUACUGCAGUAUUCAUGGAGUGCAAGAAAUGUGAUCACUGUCAAAAGCAAUAGCGCUGAAGAAAAGGAGCAAUAGAACAAAUUCGACAACUUUACAAUAUUCACAACUUUAAUGCCAUUGUAAGAAAACAUCAAUCUUUUGUUAAGUGUAUUAUUCGGUUGUUUCUUAUUGUUGAAUACAAAAUUUAAUAAUUUUAUGAUGGUAUCAAUGCAGGAUGUCAUAAAUCUGAGUCUUGCCAGGUUCAUAGUAUUGUUAUUUUUUUUUUAUUUAUUCAAGCCAUGUCUUGAGUCUAAACAUUAAAGGGGCUAUGUUGAAUAUAAAAUAUAAAACCGCUUUCUAACAAAAGAUUUUCGAGGACAAUAAUUGCAAGGGAUAAUAUCCUAUAUACUCCUUAUACGUUUGAAAAUAUCCGAUUUGUUCCUACUUUUUUUUCUUUCUAAAAUACCUCUCAUAUGUUCCACCGUUAUUGCAAAAUACCCUCGCAGUUAUCUCCUGUUAAGUUAACUUGGGUUAAACAUGAGUUAAAUAUCUACCACAGUUAAAAAAAUUAAAACGCCAAUUUUGCAUUUAACUUAUUUUGUGCCCCUGACUUUAAGAGCAAAUAAGAAAGACAAUGAUAGUGAAAAGGUAUAUUUGAAAGGGCAAAAUAGUAAUUUUACAGAGAUAAUAUAGUUAAUUAACAGAUUUUAACUCUAGAGGUAUAUUAGGAAUAGGUUGAAACGUAGGAAGGGUAUUUUCAAUAUUAGCCUUCUAAAAGGGGUAAAUCGGAAAGUCAGAAACUUUUCAGGGGUAUAUAAGUAAUUGCCCCUAAUUACAAAUAAAACUAUGGUAUCUGAUGCAAUGGUAAACUAUUAUCUAAUGCAGUAUCUUCUAUAACAUAAAUUCUCAUUUGUUAUAUUAUCUAUAAAUUUAGCGUACCACAGUUUUGUACGAACAAAGAUUUACUCAUAAAAUAAAAUAUUUAAUUUAAAUCCCGACUCAUACCAAGAAAGAUGAUUAAUAACUAAAUAAAUCUAAUUCUAUCAUCUUACCGAGACUUGAUAUCCUUUAAUUUAUAACCGCAGGCAAAAUCGCCGACACCUCCGCCGAUCAUUGCUGCUUGAGUGCUCGUCGAGGAACCUCUACCUCACAGAGUAGCAAAGUUCAAAAUCCAAAAGGGUGUUAUAGAGCCCCGAGAUCUCCACGUAAUUGAACCCAGAUGCUAAAUCCACACUAAUUAAAAUUCUCAAGUCGAAUUGGACAUCGGAUGAGGCAGCGAAGGAGGAUGGGGUUUGAGAGGAGGCGAGGAAGGCAGUGCCUCUACCGCAGCCGACAGAGAUGUGACCGUGGCGAGGGGCGGAAAUUUAGUCUAACGUUUUGGUAGUGUAAUAUGCAUGCUCUUUGCAAAGAAACAUCAAUUAACUAAUAUGAAAUCCCAUGCAUGUUCUAUUGUCCACGUGGCGAUAUUAUCUUGAUUUGAAUUUUUGUGUGACCUACCUGUCAAACUAAUAUAUUUUGCUUAAUAUAAUUUUCAUUUAAUUGGCUAAGAGAUUUUUCAAAUUCUCUUUUGUGGGUCUCACCUAUCAUCUUAAUUAAUUAUAGACUUUUGUGGAAACCCAACUGUCAUAUUAACUUAUUUGCCCAUGGGUCCCACUGUCAGUUUAUUUUUCUCAUUCUCUUUCCAUUUAAUUGUUUCAGAGACUUUUCAUUCCACCUUCAUCUCUAGGGUCGCUUCGACUCCCGAGUAGCGACGCUUCGUUCCAACGUGUCGCAAUAAUUGUUUGGAUUCAUCUCAUCGAAUAUAUCUAUUUGCCGAAUCUGAAAGGCCAUCUAACGUUUAAUGCGGUAUUUCCCGCUGCCUUUUUUUUUUGUGCGGCAUAACAUCUCCACUCCUCUGCCAGUUUUCACUUUUUCUCUGAUUUGGUUUUCACCUUUCAUUCAUGUUGUAAUUUCAAUUUGUGUACUUAUUAUUUUUUUCUCAGAAAAUACUAAAUACUUUUAUUUUCUCUCAGAAAAUUUAUUGCUUCUGGCUGCAACAAUUAAUCAUAUUAACAGGUUCCUUUUUACUUUGAAUUUGAUCUUUUAUUUCUUUACUCCAAUUUUUCUAUUGUAUAUUAUAUUUUAAAUUAAUAUUAAUCUUUUUUAUUAUGAAUUUUUUACCUCUGUAUCUACAAUUGAUUGUCUCAGAUUUUUUAAGUUUCUUGGCCUAAUUUUUAUGUAUAUACUUAUUUUUUUUUGCAUAUUAUUUUACGCUGUUACAAGUGUAAAAUUCGUUGUAUCUAUGGUUGCCGCUGCUGCUGUUUCUUCAAUUGCUUCUGCUUUUUUUUUUCUUAUUCAAUUUUUUUUCUCUUAUGUAAUUACUAUUUCUUCUUUCUUUACCUUUUUUCACAGGAUAUUAAAUAUUUCUUUAAGUUAUUUAUACAUCAAAAUUUUUUUUUCUUAAGAAAAGAAUUUUAGUAUAAAAACGCAAGUUAAAUAUUGAAUAUUAUCUACUCGCAACAUCGUGCGGGUCACUGCACUAGUUAUAAUAAGCUUUACCAUGCACAGUUUUAUGUUUAUAGUUGCAGGUCUCAAAGGCAAAAUCAAGUUCAAAGUUAAGAAUAUAUAUUUCUCCUUAUCAACCACUUCCAACCAUUAAGACAAACAAAUAUUAAGAUAUUGUUUACACUGGCCUUUCCCUUUUAGUCUCCUAAAGGCUAUAUAAUAUCAUGUAAAAAUAUUAAUAGUAAAUAUAAAGAAACAAAAGAGAACACUCUUCAAGUUAGGGAUAAAUGUAUAUUUAUUUAUAUAAAUAUAUCUGAAUUUUAAUGGAUCCUUCCGAGUCAUCAAUUUUACUUUUUUGUAUAUUUAUUUAUAUAAAUAUACCUGAAUUUUAAUGGAUCCUUCCCGGUCAUCAUUUUUACUUUUUUGAGAGAAAAAAAAGAUUGUUUGUAUGCAAGAAAGGUUAGAAUUUCUAGAAAUCAAAUUUACAGCAUUUAGAAAAUUCUAAAAAUUAAAUUUUUUAAUUUUUUGACAUUAUUUUACUUUACGAUCUAAAGAUCUUAAAAUUAACAACUUUUAACGUGCGGUAUGUGAUGCUUACUAAUUCAACGGUGUAAAAAAAUCAAAAUUGGCUGAAUUUUUGAUAGAAAAUUCUAUUCACUAUCUAAAUAAAGACCAAUAACUCUGAUCUUAAAGAGGACGUUCAAUUUUGACCGUUCAUUUUAUGCCUUCUUGGUGGAGUUUAAUAUAACUUUAAAAAAACUACGAAAUUUAUUUUUUAAGAGUUUCAAAUACUCCAGAUUAUAUUUAAGAGUUUCAAAGUUCCAUUAUAAAAAAUAACUUAUAAGCACGAAAGGGUGUAUACUUAUAAUAUAUAUAUAUAUAUAUAUAUAUAUAUAUAUAGAGAGAGAGAGAGAGAGAGAGAGAGAGAGAGAGAGAGAGAGAGAGAGAGAGAGUUGGGUUAAAAUACUCGUAAUAGUAUCCGACUAUGGAUACUAUUAAGAGUAUCUAUAGUCGGGAUGAAAAAUUGCAAGGUUGGGAUGAUAGUGAUCCCUUAGAGUUUAGUGGUGGUUUCCUAGGUUUUAGUAGGUGGUUGCUAGAAUCGCAUGAUCUAAAGAAUGGAAUUGAUCAAGGGGUAAAUCUAAUAGUGAAAAACUGAAUAGCACAAAGUGUUUGGUACUAUAAAUAGUAUCUCGGAAAGACUAUAUGUAUGUAUGUAACUAUGUAUGUAUGUAUGUAUGUACCUUAUUUUACUUUUUAUCAUGCCUAUUGUUUACGUAGGGUGUAAUGUGGGUCGUGCCGGGCCGGCAUUGCCCACAUUUUUCGGGCCGAAACGGGCUAGGGACUGGCUCGGCCCGAGCUCUCUAGCCUUCGGCCCAGUACGGCCCCUCGGCCUGGAAGGCACGGGCCCUGCCGUGCUCCAGGCUAGCCCAUUUUUAAAUUUUUUUAAAAAAAUAUAUAAAAUAUAAGAAUAUAAACAAAAAAUUAUUUUUGUUUAAAUUGAUAUUUUGAUUAAAAUAUUUAAAAUUUAUAAAAAAUUUAUAAAAUAAUAAAUAUUUAAAUAUAUUAUAUAUAUAUUUGUAAUAUUUUUUUAAAAAAAUUUGAAAUCUUUUUUUGGUCUAAUGGACCAAAAUUAUUUUGGUCCACUUUGGUCCAUUAGACCAAAAGCAUGCCUCCCAAGGUCUGCUCACCUUGGGAGGAGGGCCACGAGAUUGGACCCAGACCCAAGACAACUUGCCUUGGGCCUGGAGUUCCGGGCCAACGGCCUCUCCUCGGCCCGGGACGGCAUAGGCCCGUUUCGGGCAGUGUCGUGCCGGGCCGUUGGGCCCCAAAAAAGCGACCUAUCAGGCGCCCGGAGAGCCGGGCUGGCCCGGUCCGGCAUGGAUGUUACAGUAGCCUUGUCCGGGCCACGGCUCGGCCUGCAUUGGUGCCAGGCAGGGCGGCCCACGGCCCGUUUUACAGCCUUAUGUUUACGGUUCAACGUUAAGUUACUUUGUAUGUGUUUUGUACCAAUGUUCUACAUUUAGGUUUUCAAAUGUUUAUUUCAAAUCAAUUGAACAUAAUAGUUUUUUACGAAAAUUAUAAUGAUGUAUAAAAUAAAAUAUAAAUUAUAGUAUCAAAACAAAUAAAAAAAAACUAUUAUUGAUACAAAAUAAACUUCCACAAUAUUAUUGAAAAAACUCUCAGCACGCAUCAUAGUAACGUACAUUAUUUUACACACAUUUUUUUUAACAUGAUCAACUGAUCACACCAUUAUUCACCUUGUCUAAUCCUGUAAUUAGGGAAAGAGCUCAAUUAUGGAGUGUGGACCACCCUUCAAAGGAGUAAUUUUGUAGUUUGCAAACCCUGCUUUGCUAAAAAUUUUUCGCCACUCGACUUCGUCGCGCUCCUUUCCGCCGAGGCCAGUCAUCAUAAUAACAUCAGACAAGAGUCCCAUUUCAUUUUUCCGGGGGUCGUCGCCGAGCGUAUUUAUCACUAUAUCCACAAUUAUGACUUUUCCGUGUUCUCCUCCAUUAGCAGAAAUUGCUUUCUUACAUUGCUUUAGAAUCUUCACGCAGUCCUCGUCGCUCCAGUCGUGAAGAACAUUCUGUGUUACACAUUUCAGGAGAUCUUUUGUCAGGAUCAAAUGCAAAUGUAACACCACUAUUUUUUGAUUGCACGUGGUAUUUGUAAUUCAUAAAAAACAAUACACGAUGAUUAAUUGCGAAAAAUAUUUGUUCAUGUAUAUAUAUAUAGAGAGAGAGAGAGAGAGUGUGUGGCUACUAUACUUUUAUGAAUAUGACCACCCUCAAACUUAUAAGUUGUUUUCGAUGAUAGAGUUUCCGAAUCGACGAUCCAUACCGUUAAAUAUUAUUUAGAACAUUUAAAACUUUUAGAAAUCAAAUUUCAUAAUUUUUCGAUAUUAUUUACCUUAUGAUUAAAAUGUCACAAAAUUGACAAAUUUUAAUGAUUGAUAUGGGAUAUGUGUUAGCUUAGCAGUGUGAAGGAAUUGGAAUAUGUUGAAUUUUUAAUAAAAAAUUAUAUUCACUACCUAAAUAAAGAUCAAUAACUCUAAUCUUAAAUUAAAAGAUCCGAUCAUCUAUUUUUCGGACAUCGUUCGAUUUUAAUCGUUGAUUUUAUGCCUGCUUGAUAGACUUUAUUAUGAUUUCGAAAAAUUACAAAAUUUAUUUUUUAGAAGUUUCAAAUACUUUAGAUCAUAUUUAAGAAAGCAGAUUGUCGAUUCGGAAGCUCUAUCAUCGAAAACAACUUAUGAGUACGAAGUGCUCUAUACUCAUAAGAAUAUAAUAGCCCUACUCUCUCUUUUUCUCUUUCUUUCUCUCUCUCUCCAUAUAUAUAUAUAUAUAUAGGCUGGAAUGCUUUUAAUAGCACUAAGUUAUUGGUGUUAUUAGAUUUUUGGUUCUUGAACAAAAGGAUGUGCUAUUAGAAUGAUAGUGAUCCUGUAGGGUUGAGUAGAUGGUUGGUUGAAUAGUAUGAUUUAUCCUAGAGUAGAUUGUUGGUUGAUUAAUAUGAUUUAACGGAUAGAGAUGGUCGAAAGGUAAAUCUAACGAUUGAAAACUUUGUAGCACCAAGUGCUUGGUGCUAUUCGAAGCACCCCAAUCGGAUUCUCUCUCUAUAUAUAUAUAUAUAGCUGAAUUCAAUAAUUAUUUCUAAUUUUGUACUUAUUUAAAAUAAUGAUAAAAUAUAGGAAGGUAAUUGAACUAAUUUUUAAUGCAAGGGUAAGAGGCCUCUGACCAUCCCAAAUUUCAACAACUAGGCAUAUCAGCAGAGUAUUAUAUAUAUCUAUAUAUAUAUAUAUAUAUAUAUAUAUAUAUAUAUAUAUUAUAUAUAUAUAUAUAUUAUAGUUGGCUGUGGUAUGCUUAUGAAAGCACGGAGGCCUCCGUGCUUUCAUGUUGUUUCGAUGUUCGGACUUUCGAAUCGACGAUCGGUUCCGUUAGAGUUGAUCUAGAGUAUUUGAAUACCUAGAAAAUAAAUUUUGCGAUUUUUCGAUAUCAUUUGCCUAGUGAUCGAAGGGGCUCAAAAUCAAUAAUUUUAAUGACCAUGGUGAGCCGGUUGCAAGUUUAACGGUAUAGAAAUAUUCAAAUCACGUGAAAUUCUGAUAGAAAUUUUUUAUACUAUAUAAAAUAAGAUCAAUAUCUUUGAUCUAAAUUUUAAUGUCAUAUCAUCAUAUUUUGUGAGAUUUUUUUUUCAGCCGUUGAUUUGAGCCCCUACGCACCUAGGCAAAUGAUAUCGAAAAAUCGCAAAAAUUAUUUUCUAGAUCUUCAAAUACUCUUAGAUCAAAUCUAACGAGACGAUGUCGAUUCGAAAAUCCACACAUCGAAAACAACUUGAAAGCAUGGAGGCCUCGUGCUUCCAUAAGCAUACCGCGCAAACAUAUAUAUAUAUAUACAUAUAUAAUAUAUAUAAUAUAAAUAUACUAUAUAUAUAUAUAUAUAUAUAGUACGGCUGGGACACUAUUAAUAGCACCAUGCACCAUGCAUUUGGUGCUAUCAAGUUUUCCGCCGUUAGAUUUAACCCUUUGACUAUUUUCACCCAUUAAAUUAUAUUAUUAAACAAACAACUCACUCAACCCUUGGGGUCCCACAUCAUAUUAACCGUACAUUUUUUAAUCCAAUGACCGAAAACCUAAUAGCAUAAAAUGCUUGGUGCUAUUGAUAGUAUUACAGCCUAUAUAUAUAUAUAGGCUGGGGCUACUAUACUCUUAUGAGUAUAGACCCUCUUAUACUCAUAAAUUUCUAACAGUUAAUUGAUGGGAUGUAUGGUUAGGAUGAUAGUAGUCCCCACUUAGAAUGAGAGUGGUCGCCUACGGUUGAGUGGGUAGUUGGUUGAAUAGUAAAAUCUCACGGAUAAAAAUGAUCAAUAAAAUAAAUCUAUGAGCCAAAAAUUUAUGAGUAUAAGAAAAUCAAUAUUCAUAAAAAUAUAGUAGCCGGACUCUCUCUCUCUCUCUCUAUAUAUAUGUAUAUAUAUAAUUUUGUGUAAUACUAAAUACAAAGGACAAUACUAGUUCUAUAGCUUACUUUGGAUUAUAAUCAUACAAUUUCCGUAGUUCACAAAGUCCUUUCUUCUUUACUUAUCUUACCAUUUUCUUCCUCUACGACUAAAAAAAAUUAAUAAAUCCUACAACGCUUAGGGGGGGAUUGGGAUCUUUUUAAUAUUAAAGAAAAAAUUGCCUAUAUCAAUUUAUCCCACUCUACUUAAAAGUAAGGGGGUUGUUACCCGAGUUUUAAGUUUAAAUUUUAGUUGAUUUAUAUUUUUAUUUAAUUUUAUUUUUAAAUUAAAUAAAUGAAGUUACUAACAUGCUACUGAUCUCUAAAAAAAAAAAAUCCAAAAGGAAUUGGCUCAUCGUAGGAAGUAGAGUUGUGGGAUUCUAACUUUUUUGGGUGUUAAUUAGACUUAGUAUUCCUCUUUUGAAAGAAGAAAGCUCUGAAAAUUAAUCUUACCUUGAGGAGCACCGCACCGGCCGGUGGAAUGUACUCAAACAUGUCGCCGGCGACCGCGUCGAUGAGCUCGCUUUUGGGUGCGGCGGCCACGACGUGCGGGAGCUCGAGGACGGUGCACUUCACCUCCGGAAACGCCUCGGCGAUCAUCUUGGCGGUCAUGCCGGUGCCGCCGCCGACGUCAACCAGCGACCCGAUCCCGCGGAAGACCUGCGGGCAGCACGCCACCGCCGCCGCCGUCGUCUGCCUGGUCUUGCACGCCAUCGCCUCGUUGAACAGCCUGCCCAUGUGCGGGCGCUCCUGGGCCACCUUCCACAAGUUCCUCCCGCCGUGCGCCAUCUCAAAUGCAUUCAUAUUCGCACCUUCCUGCGUCAGCCACUCGCUCAUGCGGUACAUCGGCUUCACCAUGUCGGGCUCCAAGAAGGCCCGCACGUACGAGCUCAUGUUCGGGCUGCCGUCAUCGGCGGUGACGAGGAGCCGCGAGAAGGGCGUGAGGAGGUAGCCAAUGCUGCCGUCGCCGUCGUCGUUGACGCCGCUGUCGCCGAGAGCCUGCACGGCGAAGACGCCCUGCGCGGAGAGAAGGCGCAUGAGGCGGCGGAGCAUCGGCUGCUUCUCGAGGGGCACGGGAAUGGAGAGCGCGAGGGCCGGGAGAGGCAUGGGCUCGCCCCCGUAGGCGUGGAUGUGGUCCGGGAUGCGGAGGUCGACAGCGCACUUGAGGGCGAAAGGGCCAAUGAUGCUGAUGAUUCGGUGUAUGAUCGUCGACUGGGCGACCAGCAGCUGGUCGUCGGUGAUCUUCGUCUCGCCUUUGCCGGGCUCCAUUUCUA
rnacentral:lncRNA from 1 species